GCAAGUCGAACGGCAGCACGGGUGCUUGCACCUGGUGGCGAGUGGCGAACGGGUGAGUAAUACAUCGGAACAUGUCCUGUAGUGGGGGAUAGCCCGGCGAAAGCCGGAUUAAUACCGCAUACGAUCUACGGAUGAAAGCGGGGGACCUUCGGGCCUCGCGCUAUAGGGUUGGCCGAUGGCUGAUUAUCUAGUUGGUGGGGUAAAAGCCCACCAAGGCGACAAUCAGUAGCUGGUCUGAGAGGACGACCAGCCACACUGGGACUGAGACACGGCCCAGACUCCUACGGGAGGCAGCAGUGGGGAAUUUUGGACAAUGGGCGAAAGCCUGAUCCAGCAAUGCCGCGUGUGUGAAGAAGGCCUUCGGGUUGUAAAGCACUUUUGUCCGGAAAGAAAUCCUGAGGGCUAAUAUCCUUCGGGGAUGACGGUACCGGAAGAAUAAGCACCGGCUAACUACGUGCCAGCAGCCGCGGUAAUACGUAGGGUGCGAGCGUUAAUCGGAAUUACUGGGCGUAAAGCGUGCGCAGGCGGUUUGUUAAGACCGAUGUGAAAUCCCCGGGCUCAACCUGGGAACUGCAUUGGUGACUGGCAAGCUAGAGUAUGGCAGAGGGGGGUAGAAUUCCACGUGUAGCACUGAAAGCGUAAGAUGUGGAGGAAACCGAUGGCGAAGGCAGCCCCUGGGCCAUACUGACGCUCAUGCACGAAACGUGGGGAGCAACAGGAUUAAUACCUGGUAGUCCCGCCCUAACGAUGUCACUAGUUGUGGGGAUUCUUUCCUAGUACCUAGCUACGCGUGAAUUGACGCCUGGGGAUACGUCGCAGAUGAACUCAAGGAUUGACGGGACCGCACAGCGUGGAGAUGUGAUUAUUCAUGCACGCGAAAACUUACUACCCUGACAUGUCGAACUUGAGAAACUGAGGUGCUCAAGAGACGAUAACAGUGCUGCUGGUGUCUCACUCUGUCUGAAAGUUGGUUAAUCCGCACGACGC
rnacentral:rRNA from 1 species